GUUCCCGCCGCAGCCGCCUGAGCGCCGAGGGAGAUGUGGGGGCGCUGCCUGUGGCAGGUGGGCCGGGGUUUGCCGCCCCCCUCCCCUCCGCAGUGGGCGAACAGCAGCCGAAACAGGCGUUUUCACCAAAGUGCCAUCGUCCCGACGAGGCUCAGCGCCUCCAGUCAUGGCCUGUAGCAGAGGUGUGCUGAUGUGGGCCACGGCUCUGCGGCUGGGCAGUGGCUGGAUUUGGUCCUCGCUCGCCCUGCGGUCAAUCUGGCAUGUUACGGCCUGAGUGCUGUAAACAUGACUAGUCAAAGGAAGACCUUAGAAAACAACCCAAGGAAGCUAUGAAGGCUGUUGAGAAAGCAAAGAAGCCAGCUGGACCGGAGAAUUCAAGUUACAUCAUCGGCAUUCAGGACCUACCAGUCCCUGACCACCCCCUGAGACAGCCCCGUGCCCUCACAGGCUCCUCUCAUGCCUGCCUGCUCUCCAGGGUGGCUCUGGACUGUGCUGCAUGGGCUAUCAUACCGGGUAACCUGGCCUCAUCUGGCAGGCAGAGCACCUCUGCGUGGACAUAAUGGUCUUAC